AUUGAACGCUGGCGGCAUGCCUUACACAUGCAAGUCGAACGGCAGCGGACCUUCGGGUGCCGGCGAGUGGCGAACGGGUGAGUAAUAUAUCGGAACGUACCUUUCAGUGGGGGAUAACGUAGCGAAAGUUACGCUAAUACCGCAUAUUCUGUGAGCAGGAAAGCAGGGGAUCGCAAGACCUUGCGCUGAUUGAGCGGCCGAUAUCAGAUUAGCUAGUUGGUGAGGUAAAGGCUCACCAAGGCGACGAUCUGUAGCGGGUCUGAGAGGAUGAUCCGCCACACUGGAACUGAGACACGGUCCAGACUCCUACGGGAGGCAGCAGUGGGGAAUUUUGGACAAUGGGUGCAAGCCUGAUCCAGCCAUGCCGCGUGAGUGAAGAAGGCCU
rnacentral:rRNA from 1 species